CACGGGGGUUGCGAGCGUUAUCCGGAUUUAUUGGGUUUAAAGGGUGCGUAGGCGGCUUUUUUAAGUCAGCGGUGAAAUUUUGCAGCUUAACUGUAACAGUGCCGUUGAUACUGGGGAGCUAGGAUUUGGUUGCUGUGGGUGGAAUGUGUGGUGUAGCGGUGAAAUGCUUAGAGAUCACACAGAAUAUCGAUUGCGAAGGCAGCUCACAAAGCCAAGAUUGACGCUGAGGCACGAAAGUGUGGGGAUCAAACAGGAUUAGAUACCCCU
rnacentral:rRNA from 1 species